GAUGAACGCUGGCGGCGUGCCUAACACAUGCAAGUCGAACGGAGUAUUAUGAAGUUUUCGGACGGAUUAAUACUUAGUGGCGGACGGGUGAGUAACGCGUGGGUAACCUGCCUCAUACAGGGGGAUAACAGUUGGAAACGACUGCUAAAACCGCAUAAGCAUACACUAUCGCAUGGUAGAGUGUGAAAAUAUUUAUAGGUAUGAGAUGGACCCGCGUCUGAUUAGCUAGUUGGUAAGGUAACGGCUUACCAAGGCGACGAUCAGUAGCCGGCUUGAGAGAGUGACCGGCCACAUUGGGACUGAGACACGGCCCAAACUCCUACGGGAGGCAGCAGUGGGGAAUAUUGCACGAUGGGCGAAAGCCUGAUGCAGCGACGCCGCGUGAGUGAAGAAGUAUUUCGGUAUGUAAAGCUCUAUCAGCAGGGAAGAAAAUGACGGUACCUGACUAAGAAGCCCCGGCUAACUACGUGCCAGCAGCCGCGGUAA
rnacentral:rRNA from 1 species